rnacentral:rRNA from 1 species
ACGCUCGACACCUAUGGGAGGCAGCAGUGGGGAAUAUUGGGCAAUGGAGGCAACUCUGACCCAGCAACGCCGCGUGAGUGAUGAAGGUCUUCGGAUUGUAAAACUCUUUAAGUAGGGACGAAGAAAGUGACGGUACCUACAGAAUAAGCCUCGGCUAACUACGUGCUAGCAGCCGCGGUAAUCUGAGCGGGCUGGCAAGGC